rnacentral:rRNA from 2 species
ACUCUGGUAUUGAUUGGUGCUUGCAUCAUGAUUUACAUUUGAGUGAGUGGCGAACUGGUGAGUAACACGUGGGAAACCUGCCCAGAAGCGGGGGAUAACACCUGGAAACAGAUGCUAAUACCGCAUAACAACUUGGACCGCAUGGUCCGAGCUUGAAAGAUGGCUUCAGCUAUCACUUUUGGAUGGUCCCGCGGCGUAUUAGCUAGAUGGUGGGGUAACGGCUCACCAUGGCAAUGAUACGUAGCCGACCUGAGAGGGUAAUCGGCCACAUUGGGACUGAGACACGGCCCAAACUCCUACGGGAGGCAGCAGUAGGGAAUCUUCCACAAUGGACGAAAGUCUGAUGGAGCAACGCCGCGUGAGUGAAGAAGGGUUUCGGCUCGUAAAACUCUGUUGUUAAAGAAGAACAUAUCUGAGAGUAACUGUUCAGGUAUUGACGGUAUUUAACCAGAAAGCCACGGCUAACUACGUGCCAGCAGCCGCGGUAAUACGUAGGUGGCAAGCGUUGUCCGGAUUUAUUGGGCGUAAAGCGAGCGCAGGCGGUUUUUUAAGUCUGAUGUGAAAGCCUUCGGCUCAACCGAAGAAGUGCAUCGGAAACUGGGAAACUUGAGUGCAGAAGAGGACAGUGGAACUCCAGGUGUAGCGGUGAAAUGCGUAGAUAUAUGGAAGAACACCAGUGGCGAAGGCGGCUGUCUGGUCUGUAACUGACGCUGAGGCUCGAAAGUAUGGGUAGCAAACAGGAUUAGAUACCCUGGUAGUCCAUACCGUAAACGAUGAAUGCUAA